rnacentral:rRNA from 1 species
AUUGAACGCUGGCGGCAGGCCUAACACAUGCAAGUCGAGCGGAGCGGCGGACGGGUGAGUAAUGCCUAGGAAUCUGCCUGGUAGUGGGGGAUAACGUCCGGAACCGGGCGCUAAUACCGCUUCCUAUCAGAUGAGCCUGGUUCGGUUUAGCUAGUGGGUGGGGUAAAGGCCUACCAAGCCGAGGAUCCGUAACUGGUCUGAGAGGAUGAUCAGUCACACUGGAACUGAGACACGGUCCAGACUCCUACGGGAGGCAGCAGUGGGGAAUCUUCCGCAAUGGACGAAAGUCUGACGGAGCAACGCCGCGUGAGUGAUGACGGCCUUCGGGUUGUAAAGCUCUGUUAAUCGGGACGCGGUACCGGAAUAGAAAGCCACGGCUAACUACGUGCCAGCAGCCGCGGUAAUAC